AGUCGAGCGGAACGAUACCAGCUUGCUGGUAGGCGUCGAGCGGCGGACGGGUGAGUAAUACUUAGGAAUCUACCUAGUAGUGGGGGAUAGCUCGGGGAAACUCGAAUUAAUACCGCAUACGACCUACGGGAGAAAGGGGGCAGUUUACUGCUCUCGCUAUUAGAUGAGCCUAAGUCGGAUUAGCUAGAUGGUGGGGUAAAGGCCUACCAUGGCGACGAUCUGUAGCUGGUCUGAGAGGAUGAUCAGCCACACCGGGACUGAGACACGGCCCGGACUCCUACGGGAGGCAGCAGUGGGGAAUAUUGGACAAUGGGGGAAACCCUGAUCCAGCCAUGCCGCGUGUGUGAAGAAGGCCUUUUGGUUGUAAAGCACUUUAAGCAGUGAAGAAGACUCCUCGGUUAAUACCCGUGGACGAUGACAUUAGCUGCAGAAUAAGCACCGGCUAACUCUGUGCCAGCAGCCGCGGUAAUACAGAGGGUGCAAGCGUUAAUCGGAAUUACUGGGCGUAAAGCGAGCGUAGGUGGCUUGAUAAGUCAGAUGUGAAAUCCCCGGGCUUAACCUGGGAACUGCAUCUGAAACUGUUAGGCUAGAGUAGGUGAGAGGAAGGUAGAAUUCCAGGUGUAGCGGUGAAAUGCGUAGAGAUCUGGAGGAAUACCGAUGGCGAAGGCAGCCUUCUGGCAUCAUACUGACACUGAGGCUCGAAAGCGUGGGUAGCAAACAGGAUUAGAUACCCUGGUAGUCCACGCCGUAAACGAUGUCUACUAGUCGUUGGGUCCCUUGAGGACUUAGUGACGCAGCUAACGCAAUAAGUAGACCGCCUGGGGAGUACGGCCGCAAGGUUAAAACUCAAAUGAAUUGACGGGGGCCCGCACCAGCGGUGGAGCAUGUGGUUUAAUUCGAUGCAACGCGAAGAACCUUACCUGGUUCUGACAUAUCUAGAAUCUGCAGGGAUGCGGGAGUCCYUUCGGGAAUUAGAAAACCGGUGCCUCCAGGCCGUUGUUAACUUGUGUUGUGAGAAGUUGGGUUAAAUUCCCCAACGAACGCCAACCUUGUCCUUAAUUUCCCACGGGGUUAACCGGGAAAUUUAAGGAAUCUUCCCAUGACCAAAUGGAGGAAGGGGGGGGAGGAGUCAAAUUAUCCUGGCCCUUUCGGCCCGGGGUACCCCCGUGGUUCAAAGGUAGGUACCGAGGGCAAGUACCCAAGGAAGUGAUGCGAAUUUCAAAAAACCUAUUGUAGUCCCGAAUGGAGUUUGCAACUUGGCUCCCGAAAUAAGAAUCGGUAGUAACCG
rnacentral:rRNA from 1 species